CGCCAGCGACAUAGACACGCUUAACAUUCGAGACGCGUAACAGGAAGCACGUAACACAAACUUGCGCUGAUACUCGUGAAUUUGAUCCAGUGAUCACCGUUUCGGGACGAAACAACGCUGCAGGCGAGGCAACCACCUGCCCCCGGAUGAGUCGUUUCCUUUUCACGACAGGGCUAUCUCGAGAAAAAGGAAAACCAUCGCCCAGCCUCGGUGAAUAGAGAAGAGUCCUGAUAAUAACGACGCAGCUGCUAAUAAAAAGUGAAGAUACACUGAAAAUACACAGGCUACCAGGAAAGUAACGUCGUUAUGCUCGAGACAGAGAGGACAAAGAGGUGGAACGACGAUGGGGUAGAACGGCAGUUCUGGUCAAGAACAAAUUGUGUCCCUUUCCAUUCAGAGUGCUUCUAGAGUUUGGAUCAAACGUCAGCAGCCAUUGUAAUAUUUACCAGAAGCGAAAAGAUGUUGAUAAACGUGGGUCCAGAUAUUAUUGCAGUUUUGGAGACGUAAGACGCUUUCAACUAUGAGUCUGUCACAGCAUAAGAAACUUUAUUACGUGGAGAAGUUUUUCUGGACUAUAGCUACCAGGCAUGUAAAUAUGAAACCGGAAUUUUUGUAUAGAAAAUACA
rnacentral:misc_RNA from 1 species